GAGGAGGAGGAAGAUAAAGUCACAGGUCAGGAGGGGAAAAAACAUGUUCCAAAAUGUUGCAGCUUUCCGUGGUCAAAUAAAUUUGUCAGCCGUCAUCUUACUUCCUUUCCUGAAUACUCUAUUCCACUAAAGGUUUCACAAUAAAUGAUAAUGAAAAUAAAUAUAAAAACUUAGAGUACAGGGAACAAUUAGAGUUUUGCCAAAUCCACCAGAUUAUGAACAAGCUAAAAGGGCAAAUUAAGAUUUGAAUAGUUUCAUUAACUGCUUUAUUUCUGCUUGUUGCUUGAAAUCAUGAGGAUGCAUUGAACAUCUCUGUGUUUAUGUUUACUGUGGCAGAGUUGGAGCUUUGUGUGGACGAGCCAGUGGAGUUAUUUGUCGACGACCCAGCCGAGGUGUCGUGGCUGGCUGAGCUGUCUGUCAAUGGACCUGUGGGGUUACCCUCUUCUUAUUGGGCAGCUGUCGCCGUGGAAAUGAAACAGGUUCUGCGGAGGAGAGCUGAUGAAGGGGUUUCUGUGGACUAAUGAACAGCCAGAGGCAAAAGGGAUUUAUUCCAAGCUCUGGACAAGAUUCCUAAUGUUACUGCUCUGAUGCUCACAUCAUAGAUUCUCUAGCUAAUAUAUCAAUUAUGCUUGUAAUUACUGUUUAUCUCCAGGGCAACAUAAACUCAGACAAUUACCUUUUACUAACUGUAUGUAAAUGAUAAUUAUAUAAUAAUGAUUACUAAAAACUUUUUUUGUAUAUUUUCAAGGUUAAUACUUUUCUGCUUUCUUGAGGUUCAGAUUAUGUUCAUGGGUUGAGAUAAACCUAAUUCAAAGAAACAAAAUAUGGGCUUCUUAUUACAAAAUGUUACUUAUAUACUUGACAUUUCCCAAAUUAUGUUUUAAAGAUUUAUAAUAAAGAAUUGGUAAAAUUGUUUGGGGGUAAAACUAAAUAAUAUUAUUUGUUAAACAAUACCAAUAUGAAAAACAAAAAACUUACAGACGUCAAGCCUCAAUCUGGUGUAAUAUGUACAUUCCCAGAAAUAUUCUUUACAGAAACAUUAUUGUAUAUAUAAAAUAUGUAAAUAAUGAAUUAAUAUGAAAUAAAUA